UUUAGAGUGCAUACUGGGAAGCAAGUUAUUUCUGGAAAGCCGUGAGGGAAACAAGACAGAAAAUAAAAGAUGGCCCUGAUGGCUUUUUCACUGAGAAGAUAAAAAAACAUCUAGCUCCAGCAUCCUCUGCCACACUUCUCAAAGUAUUUCUGCCCGUACCAUCCAUUUUUGUGAACUGUUUUCAAGUGUCUGAAGGAGCAAGAGUCUCCUCUCCCUUCUAAGUUGCCAACCCUUGGCUUGCUGGCUCCAUCUCACCUGCCUCCAGACCUUCUUCCCCUCCUUUGUACUAGGUUCCUCCUUUCUGCUUUCAGACUGAAUGGGAUUAAUCUACCUGGGGAAUUGGGGGAGAGAUGAUCUUUAUUUAUCGCUUCUCAAGCAGUUUCCCUUUUCCUCUCAGUCCCUGCACUGCCAAACUGCCAAGACAAAUUCUUUACACUUUUUCCUCCUGGAUCUCCUUGAUAAGCUCAUUCUUUUCUCAGUCUUUUUUUUUUUUUCCUUGACCUCACUGCCACACAAGAAAAUUCUGACUUUCACCUGUAAAAUUCUCCCUUGACAUUGCCCUAGGAUGGUACAAUCACCCCUUCUCCCUUGCUGGCUCUUCUUUCUCAUUUAGCCCUCUAUGUGGGUGGGCAUUUGCCCCAGGUUUUAUCCUCAACCUCUCUUUUCCCUUUACCUGCUGUCCUGGGACAGCACUUGACACUCAGCCCUCUCCAGCCUUGAUCUGCCUCAUAAGCUCUAGCUUCAUAUUCUCUCCAGCCAGUAAGACAUUAACAUCCAGGGGACUCAUUACCUCUAGUCAACAUGUCAAAAAAAAAGUUCUUAUUUCCUUUCAAAAUUGACUUUACUCCCCUUGACUCCUCUGUUUUUGUCAGCAUUACCUUAACUCCCAACCACAGCUGCCACUUCUCCACCUUAUUUUUUUUAAGAUUUUUAUUUUUGCAUAAUCUCUACACGCAACAUGGGGCUCUAACUCACAACCCUAAGAUCAAGAGUCAAAUGCUCCACCAACUAAAGCCAGAUGCCCCUUCAUCCUCAUCUUUAACUUACCCAUAGGACUUUCAAAAACCCUUUAUCGAAUUCCUCGACUCUGCUAACUUAUUUCCAUUGCCACCCAACUACAUCCUUCUCAAGAUCCCUUUGUUAAUACAACUGCCUUCAUUCACCCCAGAAUCAUUGGUGUUCCACAGGAUUUUGUCCUCAUCAGUAUCCCUAGGAAUGCAGAUUGUCACAUCCCUUUUUCAUCCAUCCUCCACAUGUAGUCAGACAUCAAGGUCUAUUGAGUCUAACUUCCUAAUGUCCUAAUGAGGCUUUCUAACUUCUGCAUCCUCAUCAUCAGUACCUUGAGAUAUUUCAAGAUUAUAAAUUGCUUCUCUUACCCCUAUAGUGCCACCAAAUGAAUCUUCAUUCCCCUCAAAAGGUUGUUACAAUUAAAUGAGAUAAUACAUCUAAAGCACUCAACAUAAUGCCUGACACAUGGUAAGAGCUGUUAUCCACUGAUCAGAAAUAAUCAUAAAAAUAUCAAAUCAUAUUGUACACCUGAAAAUAAUGUUAUAUCAAUUAUACUGCAAUUAAGAAAAAAGAAAGAACUAAUUACUCCCCAUUACUGACAGCUUCAAAUCAUAACUCUCAGCUGCAUGGUCUGCCCAGUGUAGCAACCCAUGACAAUCACCCAUCCAAACACCAAACGCUUUCACAUUUUCAGUGUGAAGCGAGCACAGUUCAUAUGUGCUUUUUCCUCUCCUGGAAUGCCUUUCUUUGUCCAAAGCCAUUCAAAUCCUCCCCUUUCUUCAAGUAACAAGACAAGUUCUACUUUUUUGAUACCUUCUAGAUCUUGGCCUGCAUUCUUCAAUAUGAGAGAGAGACAGCCAGCAAGAGAGGGAACACAAGCAGGGGGAGUGGGAGAGGAAGCAGC